GAUGAACGCUGGCGGCGUGCCUAAUACAUGCAAGUCGAGCGAACGGACGAGAAGCUUGCUUCUCUGAUGUUAGCGGCGGACGGGUGAGUAACACGUGGAUAACCUACCUAUAAGACUGGGAUAACUUCGGGAAACCGUAGCUAAUACCGGAUAAUAUUUUGAACCGCAUGGUUCAAAAGUGAAAGACGGUCUUGCUGUCACUUAUAGAUGGAUCCGCGCUGCAUUAGCUAGUUGGUAAGGUAACGGCUUACCAAGGCAACGAUGCAUAGCCGACCUGAGAGGGUGAUCGGGCACACUGGAACUGAGACACGGUCCAGACUCCUAAGGGAGGCAGCAGUAGGGAAUCUUCCGCAAUGGGCGAAAGCCUGACGGAGCAACGCCGCGUGAGUGAUGAAGGUCUUCGGAUCGUAAAACUCUGUUAUUAGGGAAGAACAUAUGUGUAAGUAACUGUGCACAUCUUGACGGUACCUAAUCAGAAAGCCACGGCUAACUACGUG
rnacentral:rRNA from 1 species